GCUAGCGGCAGGCCUAACACAUGCAAGUCGAGGGGCAGCACGAAAAAGCUUGCUUUUUUGGUGGCGACCGGCGCACGGGUGCGUAACGCGUAUGCAACCUACCCUGUACUGGGGGAUAGCCCGGAGAAAUUCGGAUUAACACCCCAUAGUAUUAUCGGAUGGCAUCAUUUGAUAAUUAAAGGUUACGGUACAGGAUGGGCAUGCGUCCUAUUAGCUAGAUGGUAAGGUAACGGCUUACCAUGGCUACGAUAGGUAGGGGGCCUGAGAGGGUGAUCCCCCACACUGGUACUGAGACACGGACCAGACUCCUACGGGAGGCAGCAGUGAGGAAUAUUGGUCAAUGGACGAAAGUCUGAACCAGCCAUGCCGCGUGCAGGAAGAAUGCCCUAUGGGUUGUAAACUGCUUUUAUUUGGGAAUAAACUCCGGUACGUGUACCGGCCUGAAUGUACCAAAUGAAUAAGCACCGGCUAACUCCGUGCCAGCAGCCGCGGUAAUACGGAGGGUGCAAGCGUUAUCCGGAAUCAUUGGGUUUAAAGGGUCCGCAGGCGGAUUUGUAAGUCAGUGGUGAAAGCCUACAGCUUAACUGUAGAACUGCCAUUGAUACUGCAAGUCUUGAAUUC
rnacentral:rRNA from 1 species